rnacentral:rRNA from 1 species
AGCGAUCGCUGGCGGCAGGCUUAACACAUGCAAGCCGAGCGCCCCGCAAGGGGAUCGGCAGACGGGUGAGAACCACGUGGGAACGUACCCCUUGGUUCGGAACAACCCAGGGAAAAUUGGGCUAAUACCGGAUAAGUCCUCGCGGGGAAAGAUUUAUCGCCAAAGGAUCGGCCCGCAUCUGAUUAGCUCGUUGGUGUGGUAACGGCGCACCAAGGCGACGUUCAGCAGCUCGGCUGGGAGGCUGAUCAGCCACACUGGGACUGAGACACGGCACAGACUCCUACGGGAGGCAGCAGUGGGGAAUAUUGGACAAUGCGGGCAACCCUGAUCCAGCCAUGCCGCGUGAGUGAUGAAGGCCCUAGGGUUGUAAAGCUCUUUCGGUGGGGAAGAUAAUGACGGUACCCACAGAAGAAGGUCCGGCUAACUUCGUG